rnacentral:rRNA from 1 species
CGGACGGGUGAGUAAUGUCUGGGAAACUGCCCGAUGAAGGGGGAUAACUACUGGAAACGGUAGCUAAUACCGCAUAACGUCGCAAGACCAAAGAGGGGGACCUUCGGGCCUCUUGCCAUCGGAUGUGCCCAGAUGGGAUUAGCUAGUAGGUGGGGUAACGGCUCACCUAGGCGACGAUCCCUAGCUGGUCUGAGAGGAUGAUCAGCCACACUGGGACUGAGACACGGUCCAG